rnacentral:tRNA from 1 species
GGGGUUGUGGCUCAGUGGUAGAGCGCUGGCCUAGCACAUGUGAGGCCCUGGGUUCAAUUCUCAGCACCA